rnacentral:rRNA from 1 species
GGAAACGGCAACUAAUACCGUAUACGCCCUAAGGGGGAAAGAUUUAUUGCUAUUAGAUGAGCCUAUAUUAGAUUAGUUAGUUGGUAAGGUAAUGGCUUACCAAGGCAAUGAUCUAUAGCUGAUCUGAGAGGAUGAUCAGCCACACUGGAACUGAGAUACGGUCCAGACUCCUACGGGAGGCAGCAGUGGGGAAUAUUGGACAAUGGGCGAAAGCCUGAUCCAGCCAUACCGCAUGAGUGAAGAAGGCCUUUGGGUUGUAAAGCUCUUUCGGUGAGGAAGAUASUGACGGUACUCACAGAAGAAGUCCUGGCUAACUCCGUGCCAGCAGCCGCGGUAAUACGGAGAGGGCUAGCGUUAUUCGGAAUUAUUGGGCGUAAAGAGCGCGUAGGCUGGUUAGUAAGUUAAAAGUGAAAUCCCAAAGCUCAACUUUGGAAUUGCUUUUAAAACUGCUAACCUAGAGAUUGAAAGAGGAUAGAGGAAUUCCUAGUGUAGAGGUGAAAUUCGUAAAUAUUAGGAGGAACACCAGUGGCGAAGGCGUCUAUCUGGUUCAAAUCUGACGCUGAGGCGCGAAGGCGUGGGGAGCAAACAGGAUUAGAUACCCUGGUAGUCCACGCUGUAAACGAUGAAUGUUAAAUAUGGGAAGUUUACUUUCUGUAUUACAGCUAACGCGUUAAACAUUCCGCCUGGGGACUACGGUCGCAAGAUUAAAACUCAAAGGAAUUGACGGGGACCCGCACAAGCGGUGGAGCAUGUGGUUUAAUUCGAUGCAACGCGAAAAACCUUACCACUCCUUGACAUGGAAAUCAUACCUAUUCGAAGGGAUAGAGUCGGUUCGUCCGGAUUUCACACAGGUGUUGCAUGGCUGUCGUCA